AAGACAUUGUGUCUUCGAGUCGUUGAUUUCACACUGCCGAGAAAAGCCUCUAGAUAGAAAAUAGGUGCCCGUACCGCAAACCGACACAGGUAGUCAAGAUGAGAAUUCUAAGGUGAGCGAGCGAACUCUCGUUAAGGAACUCGGCAAAAUGACCCCGUAACUUCGGGAGAAGGGGUGCUCUUUAGGGUUAACGCCCAGAAGAGCCGCAGUGAAUAGGCCCAAGCGACUGUUUAUCAAAAACACAGGUCUCUGCUAAACCGUAAGGUGAUGUAUAGGGGCUGACGCCUGCCCGGUGCUGGAAGGUUAAGAGGAGUGGUUAGCUUCUGCGAAGCUACGAAUCGAAGCCCCAGUAAACGGCGGCCGUAACUAUAACGGUCCUAAGGUAGCGAAAUUCCUUGUCGGGUAAGUUCCGACCCGCACGAAAGGCGUAACGAUUUGGGCACUGUCUCAACGAGAGACUCGGUGAAAUCAUAGUACCUGUGAAGAUGCAGGUUACCCGCGACAGGACGGAAAGACCCCGUGGAGCUUUACUGUAGCCUGAUAUUGAAAUUCGGCACAGCUUGUACAGGAUAGGUAGGAGCCUUUGAAACGUGAGCGCUAGCUUACGUGGAGGCGCUGGUGGG
rnacentral:rRNA from 1 species